ACGAACGCUGGCGGCGUGCCUAAUACAUGCACGUCGAACGCUUCUUUCCUCCCGAGUGCUUGCACUCAAUUGGAAAGAGGAGUGGCGGACGGGUGAGUAACACGUGGGUAACCUACCCAUCAGAGGGGGAUAACACUUGGAAACAGGUGCUAAUACCGCAUAACAGUUUAUGCCGCAUGGCAUAAGAGUGAAAGGCGCUUUCGGGUGUCGCUGAUGGAUGGACCCGCGGUGCAUUAGCUAGUUGGUGAGGUAACGGCUCACCAAGGCCACGACGCAUAGCCGACCUGAGAGGGUGAUCGGCCACACUGGGACUGAGACACGGCCCAGACUCCUACGGGAGGCAGCAGUAGGGAAUCUUCGGCAAUGGACGAAAGUCUGACCGAGCAACGCCGCGUGAGUGAAGAAGGUUUUCGGAUCGUAAAACUCUGUUGUUAGAGAAGAACAAGGACGUUAGUAACUGAACGUCCCCUGACGGUAUCUAACCAGAAAGCCACGGCUAACUACGUG
rnacentral:rRNA from 1 species